rnacentral:rRNA from 1 species
AACACAUGCAAGUCGAGCGGAGAUGAGGUGCUUGCACCUUAUCUUAGCGGCGGACGGGUGAGUAAUGCUUAGGAAUCUGCCUAUUAGUGGGGGACAACAUUCCGAAAGGAAUGCUAAUACCGCAUACGCCCUACGGGGGAAAGCAGGGGAUCUUCGGACCUUGCGCUAAUAGAUGAGCCUAAGUCGGAUUAGCUAGUUGGUGGGGUAAAGGCCUACCAAGGCGACGAUCUGUAGCGGGUCUGAGAGGAUGAUCCGCCACACUGGGACUGAGACACGGCCCAGACUCCUACGGGAGGCAGCAGUGGGGAAUAUUGGACAAUGGGCGGAAGCCUGAUCCAGCCAUGCCGCGUGUGUGAAGAAGGCCUUUUGGUUGUAAAGCACUUUAAGCGAGGAGGAGGCUACUUAGAUUAAUACUCUAGGAUAGUGGACGUUACUCGCAGAAUAAGCACCGGCUAACUCUGUGCCAGCAGCCGCGGUAAUACAGAGGGUGCGAGCGUUAAUCGGAUUUACUGGGCGUAAAGCGUGCGUAGGCGGCUGAUUAAGUCGGAUGUGAAAUCCCUGAGCUUAACUUAGGAAUUGCAUUCGAUACUGGUCAGCUAGAGUAUGGGAGAGGAUGGUAGAAUUCCAGGUGUAGCGGUGAAAUGCGUAGAGAUCUGGAGGAAUACCGAUGGCGAAGGCAGCCAUCUGGCCUAAUACUGACGCUGAGGUACGAAAGCAUGGGGAGCAAACAGGAUUAGAUACCCUGGUAGUCCAUGCCGUAAACGAUGUCUACUAGCCGUUGGGGCCUUUGAGGCUUUAGUGGCGCAGCUAACGCGAUAAGUAGACCGCCUGGGGAGUACGGUCGCAAGACUAAAACUCAAAUGAAUUGACGGGGGCCCGCACAAGCGGUGGAGCAUGUGGUUUAAUUCGAUGCAACGCGAAGAACCUUACCUGGCCUUGACAUAGUAAGAACUUUCCAGAGAUGGAUUGGUGCCUUCGGGAACUUACAUACAGGUGCUGCAUGGCUGUCGUCAGCUCGUGUCGUGAGAUGUUGGGUUAAGUCCCGCAACGAGCGCAACCCUUUUCCUUAUUUGCCAGCGAGUAAUGUCGGGAACUUUAAGGAUACUGCCAGUGACAAACUGGAGGAAGGCGGGGACGACGUCAAGUCAUCAUGGCCCUUACGGCCAGGGCUACACACGUGCUACAAUGGUCGGUACAAAGGGUUGCUACCUAGCGAUAGGAUGCUAAUCUCAAAAAGCCGAUCGUAGUCCGGAUUGGAGUCUGCAACUCGACUCCAUGAAGUCGGAAUCGCUAGUAAUCGCGGAUCAGAAUGCCGCGGUGAAUACGUUCCCGGGCCUUGUACACACCGCCCGUCACACCAUGGGAGUUUGUUGCACCAGAAGUAGGUAGUCUAACCGCAAGGAGGACGCUU